UUUCCACGCCACUUAACAGUCACAGUGGUGCCAGGCUCAAUGCUUGAGAGAUCAACCUCAAUCGAAGCAAGUGCAAGAACGUCCUUGCUAGCAGACAUGCUCAACACAAACUUGAGAAUAAGGAGACGGACCACUGAAGCAUAGACAAAACGGCCACCAGUAAGGACAAAAUAGGCAAAUGCCCGCUUGCUGGGAUCACCUGGAGGGAAACGCUCAUGGUUGUACUCAUCAUAAACUAUCUUUGAAGUGGGGUUCUUAACAGCUGCCACUGUUGCUGGAA
rnacentral:misc_RNA from 1 species